AUAUUUAUUUUUCCACAUUUUUUUUCCCACGUUUCCCAACUGAGAGCAGAAACCAUCGGCAAAGCCGCUUGGCGAUUGCACCGAACAGUCUUCUAUCGUUACACUGUAUGCUGAUUCUUGUCCAUGGAAGAAUUUCAGACGAAAUGCAAGAAGUUUUAAGUAUUAGCUAUGGAGUUUUCUUUAGUUUCACAACACAUUGAUCGCCGUUCGCUCAUCGGAACUCUCUAUUUGAGGCUUGUACUUUCUACUGGGGAAGAAUUGGUUGGUUGAUCAUGUGGUUUGGAUUUUUGGCUGAGACAGGAGCGUUUUGUGCAGUACAGCGUUGUGAAUCUAAUUUGGUCAGCGUCGGAUCUAUGAACACGAAGCGCGGCCCCGUUAUUGCCCAUUUCAGAUACAAAAAUCAUUACGGCAGCCGCCGGCCUUUUAUGUCAGGCAACUAUACACCAAUUCAUGCGCACAAAGGUAUGAAACCCGGGCAUUUCUUUAUAUAUAAUUAAAUUUAUUACGGUGUACAGAGUAGUCACAUCUCGCAUGAUUUAUUUAUAGGAAGAAACAUAAUGGGCCUAAUGUAUUCUUAGGCAUUAGCUAUCCUAACUUUUGGAUCUUUUGUUACAAUAUUUGAAGCUUCCAGUUAUAAAACACACCUAGCUACAAUAAAAUGAUUUAAAAACUUCAUUGUCUAUAAUGUUUACUACUGUCCAACCAUCAUCUCUCCUUAUUUGUAAUCCACGCUAAAACAAUUUGUAGUUAAACACAGACUAUUAUAACUCAUACUACCUUCUACGCUCCAAACACAAAAGAAAGACUACCAUUAUCCACAAACUAUAACAACCAACUUUAAUCCAAAACAACCCCUAAAAUAUUCUCCACUGCUGAUGAUAAUUAGUAUCAUUAUUGUUUGUUAAGGAAAAAUAAUCUCAAAAAACCAAUUUUGAACAUUAAAAUUGUUUAGGCGUGGGAACUUGAUUGAUUUUUCUCCAAUGGAUGGGAUUUAUCUUUCGAGCUAAACUUGGAAAGACUACUGGGUUUACGAAAUAAACUGACUAACUCGUCUAAUUGGACAAACAAAAUGGAGGGAGGAAAUAAUUAAUAGUGGCAAAUGUUUUAAAAUUUAUCAUGUGAAAAAAAAAAAAA